AUUUCAACAAAAACAGGCGGGUUUUUUUGUUGUUGCUGUUGCUCUGUAAAUCAAGCAAACAAGGAGAACCAUAAAAUCUUUCCAGCAUCAGCAGCAUGAGCGCAGACACUUGGGCAAUCUGUCUCUGUAUCUGAUCUUAUCUGUGCGCUGCCGGUGUAUAGAUGCGUGCAUGGUGUCAGAAGAAGAAGAUGAGGCAGGAACAGAAGAACAACAAGGCUGACGUUGGUGUUCCACUGACUGAAGAGGCUCAUUGUGCAGCCUGGCAGACACGAGUCAAACGCAGCGCCCAACUCUGACGGCUUCACCCAGGAACAAUGCUCCUGUAACCGAAGUGCGACGGCGCGGCGGACAAAUCGUGAGACGUACGUGAGGCGAACAGAGGCCCUUUGUUGCUCAAAGUGAUUUGUUUUGACACCAGCAUCUUACUGCUGCACGUCGCGUGCAUUAGGGGUAAUUAAUCUCGCCGUUGCGAUUACUGGAACAAUAAGUCGGAUUAUACAGCAUCUACCAAACUGCCGUGACGCUUUGUCUCGCUGAUAUCAGUUUGAACAUCGGGUAUUAUCAGGUUCCCCUCUGAAAAGUUUGAUCCACCCGAGUGAGUGGAAGUGGUUUUAAGUGAGGUAAUGCAGCAGGUUGUGUCAGCUCCUGUGUCAGUUUGUCUCAUGAGAUUAGGGCAUAACCUACAUCAGCGCCUUUUAGAAAUCUGAACUCAGACGAUGACAGAAGGAGCUCAAAGCUUUCUGAUGUUGCUACAUCUUGUUCCAGACUCAAAUUCAACAUGCAUUUCCCCACCUACAACUCUGAGAUACUUCAGCCAUCUUUAGCAGUAGUUUUUAGUAAGCAACUAAGAAGAAGGAUAUCUUUUAGUCCUCCAGGAGGAAAAAACGAAGAGAUGCCAAAUUUUCUGGAUGAUUUUGAACUAGACCUGAACAUGGGUAUUAGAAUAUGUUUCAAAUAUUUAAAACACUUGAACAUGUCUUGUUUAAAUCCAAGUUUACCCUUAAUUUGCUGAAACUUACAUGCAGUUGAAUCUAAUGUGCUCAUUGAUCACUGUACACUUUGCAUACACUCCAAACAUAUUUUGCAAGGAUAAUAAAUAAUUUUUUUAUUUUUUUUUACAUUUCAUCAUGUUAGAAACCUUAAACUUUAAUAUUUUUUAAUAUUAGUCAAUACUUUGUAGAACCAGCGCAGUUAAGGCUGCAAGUAUUUUGUGGUACGUUUCUACCAGCUUAGGAUGACUAGAUAUUAAGAUUUUUUUCCAAUCUUCCUGCACAAUAGCUGCAGCCUCAGUCAGAUUAGAAGGAGAUCAUCUGUGAAAAACAAUAUUAAGGGUUUUUGGCUUUGACUGGGCCAUUCUAAUACCUGGAUAUGCUUUGAUCUAAGCUAUUUCAUUGCAGUUCAGGUCGUGUAUUUAGAGUUCUGCUGGAGGUGAACCACUGGCCCAGUUUUAAGUCCGCUGAUCUAGCAGGUUUUCUUUCAAGAUUGCUUUGUAAUGAGCCCAAUCCAUCUUCUGUCCAGCUUCCCUUUUACU